GCCUUCGUGGUGUAGUGGUCAGCACGCUCGACGCGUAUUCGAGAGGUCCGUGGUUCGAGUCCCGGCGAAGGCG
rnacentral:tRNA from 2 species